rnacentral:rRNA from 1 species
AGGGUUUGAUCCUGGCUCAGAGUGAACGCUGGCGGCGUGGAUUAGGCAUGCAAGUCGAGCGAACCUUUUACUGAAAGUAGAGCAACCUUCGGGGAGUUUUACAAUUGGUGUUUGGUUAGCGGCAAACCGGUGAGUAACACGUGGGUAACAUGCCUUAUGGAGGGGGAUAGCCUCGAGAAAUCGAGGGUAAUACCCCAUGGUCCCUAGACUUGAAAUAGGUUAGGGUAAAGAUGGCCUCUACUUGUAAGCUAUCACCAUAAGAGUGGCUCGCGGCCUAUCAGGUUGUUGGUGGGGUAAUGGCCUACCAAGCCUAAGACGGGUAGCUGGCUUAAGAGAGUGGUCAGCCACAUCAGAACUGAGACACUGUCCGGACUCCUACGGGAGGCUGCAGUCGAGAAUAUUUCCCAAUGGGCGAAAGCUUGAGGAUGCGACGCCGCGUGAGGGAUGAAGGUCUUCGGAUCGUAAACCUCUUUUGUUAGGGAGAAAAGCCAAGCUUUGAAUAAUUGUCUUGGUCUGACUGUACCUGACGAAUAAGCCACGGCUAACUCCGUGCCAGCAGCCGCGGUAAUACGGAGGUGGCAAGCGUUACUCGGUUUGACUGGGUGUAAAGGGUCCGUAGGCGCCUGGUAAGUGGAAGGUGAAAUACUUUAGCUCAACUAAAGAACUGCCUCUCAAACUGCCUGGCUAGAGGAUGGAAGAGGAAAGCGGAACUGCUAGUGUAAAGGUGAAAUUUGUGGAUAUUAGCAGGAACGCCUGUGGAGAAGUCGGCUUUCUGGUCCAUUCCUGACGCUGAGGGACGAAAGCUAGGGUAGCAAACAGGAUUAGAUACCCUGGUAGUCCUAGCUGUAAACGAUGGGCACUAGGUGUUUGCGCUUUAUGCGUGGGUGCCGGAGUUAACAUGUUAAGUGCCCCACCUGGGGACUACGGCCGCAAGGCUAAAACUCAAAGGAAUUGACGGGGGCCCGCACAAGCGGUGGAACACGUGGUUUAAUUCGAUGCUACGCGAGGAACCUUACCAGGGUUUGACAUGCUGGAAGUAGUGCUGCGAAAGCAGUUCCGACCUGUAACCAAUCAGGAACCAGCACAGGUGCUGCAUGGUUGUCGUCAGCUCGUGCCGUGAGGUGUUCCCUUAAGUGGGAAAACGAGCGCAACCCUCGCUAUUUGUUGCUACCGGUCUUGUUUACAAGAUCGCGCACUCUAAUGGGACUGCCCGCGUUAAGUGGGAGGAAGGUGGGGACGACGUCAAAUCCGCAUGGCCCUUAUAUCCUGGGCUACACACGUGUUACAAUGCUUACUACAGAGGGAGGCCAAGCCGCGAGGUGGAGCAAAUCCUUUAAAAGUAAGCCCAGUUCGGAUUGAAGGCUGCAACUCGCCUUCAUGAAGUUGGAAUCGCUAGUAAUGGCAUAUCAGCUACGAUGCCGUGAAUACGUUCCCGGGCCUUGUACACACCGCCCGUCAAGCGCUGAAAGUGGGGGGCACCCGAAGCUCUACAUUGUAGGUCCACGGUGAAUUUCAUGAUUGGCGCUAAGUCGGAACAAGGUA